rnacentral:rRNA from 1 species
AACGAACGCUGGCGGCAUGCCUAACACAUGCAAGUCGAACGAGACCUUCGGGUCUAGUGGCGCACGGGUGCGUAACGCGUGGGAACCUGCCCUUAGGUUCGGAAUAACUCCCCGAAAGGGGUGCUAAUACCGGAUAAUGUCUUCGGACCAAAGAUUUAUCGCCUUUGGAUGGGCCCGCGUUGGAUUAGCUAGUUGGUAGGGUAAAAGCCUACCAAGGCGACGUUCCAUAGCUGGUCUGAGAGGAUGAUCAGCCACACUGGGACUGAGACACGGCCCAGACUCCUAGGGGAGGCAGCAGUGGGGAAUAUUGGACAAUGGGGGAAAGCCUGAUCCAGCAAUGCCGCGUGAGUGAUGAAGGCCUUAGGGUUGUAAAGCUCUUUUACACGGGAUGAUAAUGACGGUACCGGGAGAAUAAGCUCCGGCUAACUCCGUG